GGGGGGAGGUGGGUGGGAGCUGGAAGAACCCUGGGAGACCCAGACAAGCUGCCCCCACGGCCUCACCGAGACAGACCGAGCUCUGAGCUCUUUGAUGCAGACCGCAGGACGCCUGCAGCUUCCUCAGUGCCAAUUACGGAGAAAUAAUUCAGCGUGCUCACCCCCUGCCUCUCAGCAGACACUCUUUGGGGACAUUUUAAAUCUGACUGUACCUGCUGAGCAGCUGACAAGUGAAGCCUUCCCUCCUGACUGCCUGCCUGCCGUCUCCUCCACCUCUCUGCCCAGGCUCUUUCAUGGGGAAGAGAGGACCUCAAGCUGGGGGUGGUCAGCCCUGCCCCCAGAGCAGGGCCUGCUCCCAUCAGCGCACAUUGCUGCCCCCGGGCUCUGCCUCAAGAUAAGCUCCAGGGUAAGAGCCGGCCUGGGAUCGGUGUCAGCUGCCGGGUCCGAGGGCUAAGCCGGGCUCAGGCGCAGGAAGACCAGGAGGACAAGUGCUGCGAGCCCCGGUUCACAGUCUCUGAAAGAGCCAGGGAUGGGCGCCCUGCACAACCAGGAACAGACCCCAAAGCUGGCCUCUCCCACUCUGCCGGCCUUCCCAGUCUAAACAGGUAAGUCCUAAGUUCCUCCCACAGGCAAGCAGCUGCUGUCAUCUGCAUGGUUGGCCUCGCAGGUCCCGUUGGGGCAGGAACUGUCUUUGUUUAGGAAAAUUCUUUUUCCUUUUUUAGGGCCACUCCCAUGGCACAUGGAGGUUCCCAGGCUAGAGGUCGAAUCGGAGCAGCAGCUGCUGGCCUACACCACAGUCAUGGCAACGCGGGAUCUUUAACCCAGUGCAGGAAGCCAGGGGUCAAACCUGCAUCCUCAUAGGUACUAGUUGGGUUCUUAACCCACUGAGCCACAGCAGGAACUCCUAGGAAAAUACUUUUCAAGGCUGAUUGUGGAUGAUCCAGAGAACACAGUCUAACCAGAGGCCAAGGCCACAAAAGAGAUAGAAAUGAAUAGGAAUUUAGAGGAAGGAAGACAGGUCAGACCGUGACACCAGAGAGACGGAGUGAGGCUGGCGGUCCCUGAGAGAAGCCACCCCUGCCCCUCCGUGGCCACACACCCCACGGGGGUCCGGAGGACUGGCCUGUCUUGUUCCCUGUGAUGCUCUUUGCGCCAGAGGGAUGUAAGCAGCUCCUACCCUACCCUCCACCUCCACGGCGUUGCCUGCACACACACACACACACACACACACACACACACGCACACACCUUGUGGAGGUGGACGUGGGGGAGGAGGGGCCGAACGGCACAGCUGAGUCUCUGUGGUUCGGAAUCUCAGGUAUGGAAGCGAUAUUCACCCCCCAACAUGGAGUCAGCUCAGCCAAAGCAGGUCCCCUGAGCCAGAGAGGCAGCUCUCCAGGGCUUUGCAGAAACCUCAGCAAAGACCUCAGCCUUUCCCAGGACACCUCAGUGGAC
rnacentral:lncRNA from 1 species